rnacentral:ncRNA from 1 species
CAUUGGCGAGAAUCCAAUGCCCUGAAAACAUAAGGGUUCCUCCGCAAGGUUCGUCCAUGGAGGGUUAUUCAGGGCCUAAGAUCAGGCUGAAAGGCGUAGUCGAUGGACAACAGGUUAAUAUUAUUGUACUACCCCUUGUUGGUCCCGAGGGACGAAGGAGGCUACACAGUUAAAGUAAUUAAAGAG